rnacentral:rRNA from 1 species
GAGGAAAGAGGGAGGAGGGAGGAAAAAAGGAAAGUAGAACGGAAAGGGGCUGCUUGUGUCUGGUUUUAGAGGGGCGAACGUGUGAGUAACAUGGGAGUAAGAUUCGUUGUACUUUGUGAUAACUUCAGGCAACUGGUACUAAUGCCUGCGAGGAGCGCCUGCUGCAUGGGGGUGGUUGGAACGUUUCGGCGGUGGGGGAUGGACUAGCGGCUUAUCAGCUUGUUGGUGGGGUAGUGGCUUACCAAGGCUUUGACGGGUAGCCGGCCUGAGAGGGUGACCGGCCACAUUGGGACUGAGAUACGGCCCAGACUCCUAAGGGAGGAAGCAGUGGGGAAUAUUGCAAAAUGGGCGGAAGCCUGAUGCAGCAACGCCGCGUGCGGGAUGACGGCCUUCGGGUUGUAAACCGCUUUCGCCUGUGACGAAGCGUGAGUGACGGUAAUGGGUAAAGAAGCACCGGCUAACUACGUU